rnacentral:rRNA from 1 species
UACUACAGCCAUGCUACCCUGAACAAGCCCGAUCUCGUCUGAUCUUGGAAGCUAAGCAGGGUUGGACCUGGUUAGUACUUGGAUAGGAGACCACCUAGGAAGACCAGGGGCAGUAGGCA